rnacentral:rRNA from 1 species
ACGGGGCCCGCACAAGCGGUGGAGCAUGUGGUUUAAUUCGACGCAACGCGAAGAACCUUACCUGGCUUGACAUCCCGAUCGCACCUUAUGGAAACAUAGGGGUCAGUUCGGCUGGAUCGGUGACAGGUGCUGCAUGGCUGUCGUCAGCUCGUGUCGUGAGAUGUUGGGUUAAGUCCCGCAACGAGCGCAACCCUUGUCCUUAGUUGCCAGCAUUCAGUUGGGCACUCUAAAGAGACUGCCGGUGUCAAACCGGAGGAAGGUGGGGAUGACGUCAAGUCCUCAUGGCCUUUAUGACCAGGGCUACACACGUACUACAAUGGCAGGUACAAAGGGCAGCCACUUAGCGAUAAGGCGCGAAUCCCGUAAAACCUGUCUCAGUCCGGAUUGGAGUCUGCAACUCGACUCCAUGAAGUUGGAAUCGCUAGUAAUCGCAGAUCAGCACGCUGCGGUGAAUACGUUCCCGGGCCUU